rnacentral:rRNA from 1 species
CAACAGGGAUUGCCUCAGUAACGGCGAGUGAAGCGGCAAAAGCUCAAAUUUGAAAUCUGGCACCUUCGGUGUCCGAGUUGUAAUUUGAAGAAGGUAACUUUGGAGUUGGCUCUUGUCUAUGUUCCUUGGAACAGGACGUCACAGAGGGUGAGAAUCCCGUGCGAUGAGAUGUCCAACUCUAUGUAAAGUGCUUUCGAAGAGUCGAGUUGUUUGGGAAUGCAGCUCUAAGUGGGUGGUAAAUUCCAUCUAAAGCUAAAUAUUGGCGAGAGACCGAUAGCGAACAAGUACAGUGAUGGAAAGAUGAAAAGAACUUUGAAAAGAGAGUGAAAAAGUACGUGAAAUUGUUGAAAGGGAAGGGCUUGAGAUCAGACUUGGUAUUUUGCAAGCCUUACCUUCGUGGUGGGGUCCCCUGCAGUUUACUGGGCCAGCAUCGGUUUGGAUGGUAGGAUAAUGACUUGGGAAUGUGGCUUUGCUUCGGUAAAGUGUUAUAGCCCUUGUUGAUACUACCUGUCUAGACCGAGGACUGCGUCUUUGACUAGGAUGCUGGCAUAAU